rnacentral:rRNA from 1 species
GCCAGGAGUCAUAUCACCCUGUAGCUCUCAACUGGCUACCCACUGAAGCUAAGCAGGGUUGAGCCUGGACAGUACCUGGAUGGGAGACCUCCUGGGAAGCUAUGGUUGCUGCUGGAA